rnacentral:rRNA from 1 species
AAUUUUGGACAAUGGGCGCGAUCCUGAUCCAGCCAUGCCGCGUGAGUGCAGAAGGCCUUCGGGUUGAAAAUCUCUUUCGGACGGCAAGAAAUUGCGCAGGCUGAUACCCUGCGCGGAUGACGGUACCGUCAUAAGAAGCACCUGCGAACUACGUGCCAUCAGCCCCGGUAAUACGUAUGGUGCGAGCGUUAAUCGGAAUUACUGGGCGUAAAGCGUGCGCAGGCGGUUGAUUAAGACGGGCGUGAAAUCCCCGGGCUUAACCUGGGAACUGCGCUUGUGACUGGUCAGCUAGAGUACGGCAGAGGGGGGUGGAAUUCCACGUGUAGCAGUGAAAUGCGUAGAGAUGUGGAGGAACACCGAUGCGAAGGCAGCCCCCUGGGCCGAUACUGACGCUCAUGCACGAAAGCGUGGGUAGCAAACAGG